CUCAUGAUGGACAAUCUCCAAAAAAGACGAUGAUCCUCAAUAUCCACGUAAUGGGUAACCACCUCUUCAUCCAUUGUGCUUUUGCUAAGGCUAUAUGGAACGAAUUUCUUGUCUAUCUCAAAUGCAUUGGGUGAUGCUAGAAACCAUUGGCGAGCUGUUUCUAGCCUGGCAUGAUGGAAUCAUGUUCAAAGCGGAAGGGAAACGUUGGAGAGUAUCUCUUCUAGCUGGUCUAUGGGUAGAGAGGAAUGAGAGAUGUUUCUGAAACAGUGACAAGCAGCCUGAGCCGGUAUCUUGUUAAGCUUACUCAAAUGUCGAGUUUUGGGUAGAUUGCCUCUAAUUUUAAGUUGGCUGUGUUGGGCCGUUGGUCAUUUUUGGCUUCUUCUUUUUUUCCCUUUUGUCUUCUCUUCAGUGUAGAUUUCUCGACUCUAUCUUGUCAAUAAAAUCAUCACCUUAAAAAAAAUAAUAAUAAUAAUAAAAGGAAAAAAAUAAUAGUAAGUUUUUUGACUUCCAAGUUCUAAAGCUAAAAGCCUCAAACAAUUGGUUUUCGCCCAUUGUGGAACAUUCCCUACUGCUGCCUUCCGUAAGAUUUGUUCAUUUGGAAUUUGGGUUUAGGAAAAAAAAAAAAAAAGAAGGAAAAAAUAAUAAUAAGUUUUCAACUUCCAAGUUCUAAAGCUAAAUGCCCCAAACAAUUCAAAGGGAAGCACACAAAUAUCAAUGUACGUCAAAUUUUCCAUGAAUGUCAAAUUGUUUUGACAUCUUUAUCUCCAUUAUAACCAUCAUUGUUGGUGUUGUCAUGCAUAGUAUAUUUCAUAGAUAAAAAAAACUAAAA